UACGUAGGGUGCAAGCGUUGUCCGGAAUUAUUGGGCGUAAAGAGCUCGUAGGCGGUCUGUCACGUCGGCUGUGAAAUCCCGAGGCUCAACCUCGGGUCUGCAGUCGAUACGGGCAAACUAGAGUAUUGCAGGGGAGACUGGAAUUCCUGGUGUAGCGGUGAAAUGCGCAGAUAUCAGGAGGAACACCGGUGGCGAAGGCGGGUCUCUGGGCAAUAACUGACGCUGGAGGAGCGAAAGCGUGGGGAGCGAACAGG
rnacentral:rRNA from 1 species